GAUGAACGCUAGCUACAGGCUUAACACAUGCAAGUCGAGGACCGGCGCACGGGUGAGUAACACGUAUCCAACCUGCCCUUUACUCGGGGAUAGCCUUUCGAAAGUACGAUUAAUACCCGAUGUAAAGGAUGGGGAUGCGUUCCAUUAGGUGGUUGGUGAGGUAACGGCUCACCAAGCCUUCGUUGGAUAGGGGUUCUGAGAGGAAGGUCCCCGAGAUUGGAACGGGGACACGGUCCAAACGCGUACGGGAGGCAGCAGGGAGGAAGAUUGGUCAAGGGGCGUUAGCCUGAACCAGCCAAGUAGCGUGAAGGAUGAAGGCUUAUGGGUAGUAAAUUUCUGUUAUAUAAGAAUAUGUAUUAUAUGAAUAAGGAUCGGCUAACUCCGUGCCAGCAGCCGCGGUAAUAC
rnacentral:rRNA from 1 species